rnacentral:rRNA from 1 species
UACGGAGGGUGCGAGCGUUGUCCGGAAUCAUUGGGCGUAAAGGGCGCGUAGGUGGCCCGGUCAGUCUUUGGUGAAAGCGCGGGGCUCAACCCUGCGUCGGCCAGGGAUACUGCCGCGGCUCGAGCACUGUAGAGGCAGGCGGAAUCCGGGUGUAGCGGUGGAAUGCGUAGAGAUCCGGAAGAACACCGGUGGCGAAGGCGGCCUGCUGGGCAGUUAGCUGACACUGAGGCGCGACAGCGUGGGGAGCAAACAGG